rnacentral:rRNA from 1 species
UAAUCUGCGAUAAGCGUCGGUAAGGUGAUAUGAACCGUUAUAACCGGCGAUUUCCGAAUGGGGAAACCCAGUGUGUUUCGACACACUAUCAUUAACUGAAUCCAUAGGUUAAUGAGGCGAACCGGGGGAACUGAAACAUCUAAGUACCCCGAGGAAAAGAAAUCAACCGAGAUUCCCCCAGUAGCGGCGAGCGAACGGGGAGCAGCCCAGAGCCUGAAUCAGUGUGUGUGUUAGUGGAAGCGUCUGGAAAGGCGCGCGAUACAGGGUGACAGCCCCGUACACAAAAAUGCACAUGCUGUGAGCUCGAUGAGUAGGGCGGGACACGUGGUAUCCUGUCUGAAUAUGGGGGGACCAUCCUCCAAGGCUAAAUACUCCUGACUGACCGAUAGUGAACCAGUACCGUGAGGGAAAGGCGAAAAGAACCCCGGCGAGGGGAGUGAAAAAGAACCUGAAACCGUGUACGUACAAGCAGUGGGAGCACGCUUAGGCGUGUGACUGCGUACCUUUUGUAUAAUGGGUCAGCGACUUAUAUUCUGUAGCAAGGUUAACCGAAUAGGGGAGCCGAAGGGAAACCGAGUCUUAACUGGGCGUUAAGUUGCAGGGUAUAGACCCGAAACCCGGUGAUCUAGCCAUGGGCAGGUUGAAGGUUGGGUAACACUAACUGGAGGACCGAACCGACUAAUGUUGAAAAAUUAGCGGAUGACUUGUGGCUGGGGGUGAAAGGCCAAUCAAACCGGGAGAUAGCUGGUUCUCCCCGAAAGCUAUUUAGGUAGCGCCUCGUGAAUUCAUCUCCGGGGGUAGAGCACUGUUUCGGCAAGGGGGUCAUCCCGACUUACCAACCCGAUGCAAACUGCGAAUACCGGAGAAUGUUAUCACGGGAGACACACGGCGGGUGCUAACGUCCGUCGUGAAGAGGGAAACAACCCAGACCGCCAGCUAAGGUCCCAAAGUCAUGGUUAAGUGGGAAACGAUGUGGGAAGGCCCAGACAGCCAGGAUGUUGGCUUAGAAGCAGCCAUCAUUUAAAGAAAGCGUAAUAGCUCACUGGUCGAGUCGGCCUGCGCGGAAGAUGUAACGGGGCUAAACCAUGCACCGAAGCUGCGGCAGCGACGCUGAUGCGUUGUUGGGUAGGGGAGCGUUCUGUAAGCCUGCGAAGGUGUGCUGUGAGGCAUGCUGGAGGUAUCAGAAGUGCGAAUGCUGACAUAAGUAACGAUAAAGCGGGUGAAAAGCCCGCUCGCCGGAAGACCAAGGGUUCCUGUCCAACGUUAAUCGGGGCAGGGUGAGUCGACCCCUAAGGCGAGGCCGAAAGGCGUAGUCGAUGGGAAACAGGUUAAUAUUCCUGUACUUGGUGUUACUGCGAAGGGGGGACGGAGAAGGCUAUGUUGGCCGGGCGACGGUUGUCCCGGUUUAAGCGUGUAGGCUGGUUUUCCAGGCAAAUCCGGAAAAUCAAGGCUGAGGCGUGAUGACGAGGCACUACGGUGCUGAAGCAACAAAUGCCCUGCUUCCAGGAAAAGCCUCUAAGCAUCAGGUAACAUCAAAUCGUACCCCAAACCGACACAGGUGGUCAGGUAGAGAAUACCAAGGCGCUUGAGAGAACUCGGGUGAAGGAACUAGGCAAAAUGGUGCCGUAACUUCGGGAGAAGGCACGCUGAUAUGUAGGUGAAGUCCCUCGCGGAUGGAGCUGAAAUCAGUCGAAGAUACCAGCUGGCUGCAACUGUUUAUUAAAAACACAGCACUGUGCAAACACGAAAGUGGACGUAUACGGUGUGACGCCUGCCCGGUGCCGGAAGGUUAAUUGAUGGGGUUAGCCGCAAGGCGAAGCUCUUGAUCGAAGCCCCGGUAAACGGCGGCCGUAACUAUAACGGUCCUAAGGUAGCGAAAUUCCUUGUCGGGUAAGUUCCGACCUGCACGAAUGGCGUAAUGAUGGCCAGGCUGUCUCCACCCGAGACUCAGUGAAAUUGAACUCGCUGUGAAGAUGCAGUGUACCCGCGGCAAGACGGAAAGACCCCGUGAACCUUUACUAUAGCUUGACACUGAACAUUGAGCCUUGAUGUGUAGGAUAGGUGGGAGGCUUAGAAGUGUGGACGCCAGUCUGCAUGGAGCCGACCUUGAAAUACCACCCUUUAAUGUUUGAUGUUCUAACGUUGACCCGUAAUCCGGGUUGCGGACAGUGUCUGGUGGGUAGUUUGACUGGGGCGGUCUCCUCCUAAAGAGUAACGGAGGAGCACGAAGGUUGGCUAAUCCUGGUCGGACAUCAGGAGGUUAGUGCAAUGGCAUAAGCCAGCUUGACUGCGAGCGUGACGGCGCGAGCAGGUGCGAAAGCAGGUCAUAGUGAUCCGGUGGUUCUGAAUGGAAGGGCCAUCGCUCAACGGAUAAAAGGUACUCCGGGGAUAACAGGCUGAUACCGCCCAAGAGUUCAUAUCGACGGCGGUGUUUGGCACCUCGAUGUCGGCUCAUCACAUCCUGGGGCUGAAGUAGGUCCCAAGGGUAUGGCUGUUCGCCAUUUAAAGUGGUACGCGAGCUGGGUUUAGAACGUCGUGAGACAGUUCGGUCCCUAUCUGCCGUGGGCGCUGGAGAACUGAGGGGGGCUGCUCCUAGUACGAGAGGACCGGAGUGGACGCAUCACUGGUGUUCGGGUUGUCAUGCCAAUGGCACUGCCCGGUAGCUAAAUGCGGAAGAGAUAAGUGCUGAAAGCAUCUAAGCACGAAACUUGCCCCGAGAUGAGUUCUCCCUGACCCUUUAAGGGUCCUGAAGGAACGUUGAAGACGACGACGUUGAUAGGCCGGGUGUGUAAGCGCAGCGAUGCGUUGAGCUAACCGGUACUAAUGAACCGUGAGGCUUAACCUU